UACCAAGCGCGAACCAAACACUCUUAGUUACACUCACUUACAUUUAGUUACAACAAUCCGAUUUCAGCAUUUUUAUCAUUACAUACAAACCGAUAUACCGCAGAGUCCUUGAUUAAAUAGAUACCAGUUAUCAACUCAUAAACAAUGGCAGUAGUAAGUGCGUAUUGUCACAUACUAGACGUGUUGAAUUAGCAUUGACUUAUGAAUGAACUGAGAAGUGGUUAGUGUCUGGUGUAAAGUAUCAAGAUGACCAGGUCCAGCUAUAGGCCUCUUGUGCCUCGGUCGUCGAACAAUUCGCUGGAGACCCGGGAAAUUGGGACGACGUCACCGCCUGGUGAGCCUCUGGUCCGCGCACCAGUGGGGAAGCCAAGAUGUCCGCCAGCUAUAUCGCGGUUGAGGGUGGAGAAAGUGGAAGGCGGCUUGGCGGUGGCCGGAGUUGUCGUAGCAGCCAACUGCCAGAUCAUAUUGCCGAUAUUCGGAUUCCUGUUUAUGCUUGUUGGGUGUGUUCUUACUGCGGCAUCGUACCGAGGUUGUGGUGAAAACGAAGAACCUGACCACUAUGCGGCUAGGAUCGCCUUCACAGGAAACUCGCGGGUGCUUGGCCCCGUGUGCAUCGUCGCUGGUGCUCUUAUGACAUUAGCUGGCAUAGUGCUGUGCAUGCUGAUGCGCUCGGCGCAGCGCCGCCAGCGCCGGCUCGCCUUCCACUGCCCCAUCCACGGCGACUUCUACCCGCUCAGCCCGCAGAUCACCAGGAAAUAUUCACGUAGCCCAGGAGGCCUCUGGCGCAGGCUGCGCGGCUGGCUGGGCAUGAUCGAAGAAGGGGAAGCGCCGCGCUGUCCGCGCUCCACGGAGCCCGCGUCGCCGGCGCGCGCCGACGCGCCGUGCCCGCCGCCCUUACCUUUCCUAGUGCCUAGCGAUUCUGUUGUAGGAAUGGCGUCAGUUCUGGGAGCGCCGCUAAGUCCUGAACAGACAUUCGGCUCAAUCAAAUCACUAGCGAUCUCUCGAGAGGUCGCCAGUUUCCCCUUGUCUCGAUCUCCCACUCCACCACCAAUGAGUUACCCACCAUUCAAGGAAGAGUCCAAAGUGGAGUGCAUACCCAACUCAGUGCCCCCGCAUGCCGACUGCGGGACAACGACCUUCAACUACCGAGUAGUAGAGUGCAAACUGACCACCACAGACGAACUCUCCCGAAGCACGCCGCUCUCCGCGCCGUGCGACAGACAGAGACCUGCCACAGUGUGUAUAUCCAUACCUAACGAAGGCAAAGGCUAGAGAUACGAAAAUAUUUAAACAUAGAUUUAAAAAAAAUCAGUGUUCAAAUUUGGAAUGGCUGUUCGUAUUAUGAACCGGAAACAUUUAUAACACGCCACCCGAAUACAAGCGUCCGCUGGUAAUAAAACUUGUAGAAGUUGUACUCUAUCUAUUGACGGAAAGAAGCUACUAUUUAACUUAUGUAAUAUAGCCUUCGUCAUUUCCCUGCUUUUAACUGACUUCCAAAAAGGAGGUGGAUCUCAAUUCGGCCCGUUUUUCCCAACCGAUUUUCUCGACCGAUAUGCAAAAUUCUUUUUACCUAAGCAGGUAUAUACAAAAUAUUACGUUGAUUGGUACUCCGUUUUUGCGUGAAAAAGAUUUGAACCCUAAAGCAUUUAUAGCAUAUUUUAUACAUUUUGUAUAUCCAAAAACACCGCGCGUAACUUUGGUGUCAGAUCGGGUGGUGUGUUAAAGAUGUACUGUAUCUAUAAUAUUAUAGUGUUAACAUAAAACCAAUUUGGUUGACGUCAAACCUUGGUCAGAUGGUUGGUACUUGGUAGCGAUUUUAGUAUAGGUAUUUAUACUCUAUAUCCACGGAGAGAAGUAAGAAUAGAGCUCUCUCUCUCACACAAAUAUGACAAAAAACUCAAUAAACGAACCGCAACGUUCGUUCGUACUCAUCCGAUCCGGUCGUUUUGACUGAUCGUCGCAGCGGCAAAACGUCUGUCAAAUAACUCGGAUCAGUCUUUUUUCCCGAAUCAGUCAUAAUGUGAACAGCUCCAUACAAAUUACUGACCGAGAAAAAAGACUAGGUAAUCGGAUAAGUGGGAACGGGCAAUAAGUUUUCCAUACUGCUCUAUUAGGGAACUCUCUCUAUCAAAAAACGUUUGAAAUUCAAUUCGAAAACAUAAGCUCGUUUGUGAUUGGUUGGUGACGCAUAAUUAUAAACGACCACUGAGAUUUUUGUCUUUAUUAUUUGUAUUGGAGACAGCCCUAUACUAAAUUCUCUCCGUGGAUAUAGUAAAGUAGAGAAACAACAAGAACAAGAAA